CGCGGAAGCCGACCUCCCCCCGGCCAGGGCGCAUGCGCCAGGCGCAGGCGCCCUCAGCGGAGGGGUCGGGAAGGGCCGUGUCGACGCCCGCCGUUUGCAGCCAUCCGAGUUGGGCUAUGUCUGCUGCGGUCCCUGCGUUUAUUGUCCCUGCCUUGGGUGUCUGAUUUGCAAAUUGUUCCCAGUGCACGUGGGGGCCUCUUCAUGGGAAGCAUAAGCUGGUCAGGAGAAAUGCCGGCUCUCCUAUUUCAGCCACCUUGUGAAGAUCCCUUAAAAGUUUAAUCCACAGAUCCCGCCUCCUGUGCAAAAGCCCUCAGUUCACAGCCUGAAGUUCCCUGAAGCCCAUGGAUCAACCAGAAGAUGUCGAUAAACGUCGGGAACAUUUUGAAGAACAGCUGAGCAGAGAGUGGCAUUACUGGGAAGUGUGGAGACAUCAGAGGUCCACGGAUUUCAGUUCAGUCAUGAUACUAAACUGACCCACAGCCGUUUGCAGAAAAUUUCAGGAUUGGUGUCUGAGGAAGCGAGGAAAGGAGGGCAGCUAUCUCUGAAAUAACAUCGUGACUUGGAUUGCUGUGAAUCUCCGUCUCUUCUUGUGCUGCUUUUGUAUAUCCAUGUAUAUCACUAUGUAAACUAGUGAAAUUACAGUGACAGAAGAGAAUACAGCAAAAAAAAAGCGCCCGUGUUGUAGUAGUUCAGAGAAAAUAAAUGACAUAGCAAGAAAGACUUAUUGUGACUUAAAAAUGACUUUUUCCUCUUAUAAAGCUGCAAUAUUAGCUACGUAGCGUGAGAAGGGAAAAAAGGGCUGAUAGAAAAUCAGAAAAGCAUCUGAAAAUCAGGGUCACUUUAGAGGCUUUCGUGAUUUCCCGUAAUGUGACAUAAAACAUCUGUUGUGUUUUUGCUGGGAAAUUUGUAGCUGAGGUCAAUGUAGCAGAAAAUAAAAAGUUGAGAAAACAUACACAGGGUGGCUGUGCGGGAAUGAGAGUUGUGUUCCUUAUCGAACUGGUCACAGAGGAUGGUGCCCGUUCAAAUUUACAUAAAACAAUCGCUAAAGCAUCUAUUAGACUGUAUUCUAACAUGUGUCUUGCUUUCUGUCAGUUUAAUUUUGCAUUAUCAGAAAGCUUUUGUUUGGAUAUAAGCAGCUUUUGUUACUUGGACUCGUUAACACAGGUCUCUGGCAAUGGUUUUCCUUCCUCUCCCUGCUGCGGGCUGUCGGCACCAAGCAGUGGUGCUGGCUGUGGCCCCGAUGCCGUCGUCCCGGUGCGGUUUUGGCUCUGCUGGUGCUCGGCACAGAUGGGGCCGGUGGUGGGUAUCUGGCCGGCUCCGUCAGCUCCGGUCUGGAGGGCAAUCAGCCUCCACCACCUUGCUCGGGUGCUGAGAGCUACUCUGCAGUCUGACGUGGGUUUUCCCCAAGAAAAGCAAGAAACCCCAGAGAUUGGUCAUCCUUUCCUUGUUGCCCCUUCAGAGUUUGUCCCUUUGGUGGCGGCAAUGCAUGCAGAGAGCUGAGCAUCUCCCAGGGUCGUGCGUGUGGUUUGCUAAAAAGAUUAGCGGAGGGAACACAUACAGUGAGGGCCAGUGAAGUGAUGUGGUUUCGUAGGGAGCUGCAUCAUAAAAUCAUAGAGAAUGGUUCGGGUUAGGACCUUAAAGAUCAUCUAGUUCUAACCCCCCUGCCAUGGUCAGGGACACCUCCCAACCUCGGUCCUAAGCCAGUGGUUUAACCACAG